UGGGGCUUGGAGCUUCACAAGCAACUGUGAGAAACAUCCACCACUUGCCUUUUCUUCUUUCAGGAGCUGAAACACAUGGCUUGACUUUGUAAGGGUUUUUAGUUAGCUCCCCAACCUAUAACAGCUGCUUCCUCCAGGACAGCAGCUGCAAAGCAUCAGUCUGCCCCUCUCUCCUCAUCCCAGGAGCUGCAGAAUUUAGUAUUGCUGCCAGGUUAGAGAGCCCCAAGAUAUCCCAGGGCUCCCAUCACUCAAGUCUCUGAAUGGUUCCUUUCCUCUUGUCCUCACCUGAAACACAUUGGGUAAAAGUGAUUUCCCAUCUAGCAACCACUUAAUAAUUGGAACUUCAGAUGCUGUAUGUUGCCAUGCUUCUUUUACAUAUGCUCAAUACAUUUUAUCAUAAAAAGAGCUCAUAUGUGGAAAACACAUGCCUACUGUGGGUAGGCCAGCAUUACAGCUCUGUGUAAAAUAAGCUACUAAGGAUAUACCCCACAAUUCCAGGAAACUUUUUCUUUAGGAUACACACAAAACAUAUAGACGAAAUUAUAAACAUCAGCUGUGCUAUUUUGCUUCCCUUCAUGCUUCAGCUGUUUGCACUUCUUUUACCCAGAAACAGAUAUUUCCCCAGGUUCCUAAUAGUGUCAUUUAUCCUUCAGGGAUACAUUUUUCCUCUGCAGUAGUAAUUUGUACACCAGAGCUGUGUUACUAUUAGGACAUGAGAUAAGACACAGCAGACUUGUAAUUUACUUUUUUAUUCACAUAUCUGCAGGAAAAGAUCACACUUCAGUUUUCUAGGAACAUGCUUUUAUGACUGGAAAAAUACAGGGAGCAGGCUAAAGCUGGGCCUACACAAGCCCAGCAGAGCCUAGCAGAGGCCUAGCAGAGUCAGUGUGUUGGAGUAGCUGCCAGGAUGGUGUCAAAAGGGAGUAGCGUGGCCAGCACACACCAUGCAGAGGAGAAAGAGGUAUUUAGAGGGAUUCUGAGAAUUUUAAACAAGAAACGAAACAGGCUGACAUUCAGCUGGUAAUUUCACAGCAGCAUUAAUACUUCUUGCCAGCCCUUCUUCGAUCAGGGGCAUCUGCCCAGCUGUGACUGUGAAUACCUGAGUCCAGCCUCCCUUCAGAUUGCCGUUCCCCCACCUUGGGAUCAACUUGGAAAUGAUUUUCUAGUACAAAGGUGCUGUGCUGACACAGACACUGUGCCCUGAGGUGUUUAUGAGGAAUUUACAGUCUAAUUGAUAAGGACUAAAGGGUGACUGGUGGAAAUGCCAACUUGGUAGACAUCUCUGACCCCUGAAUGGGACACAAAGUGGCAGUACAUGAGGGCUGGCUGCAGGCAUAGUUUCUGGGCCUCUCAAUCCCUCAAGGAUGGCCAGAUUAGGAGCAUGAAGUUUUACUGUCUACAAGAGUGUUUGGAGCCAGCAAUGCAGGAAAAGAGUUAUGUCACCUACUCUCAUAUUUUUCUUACUCAUGCCCAAAACUAUGAGGAAAUACUCUUCUUCAAAAGAAUAGCUUGCAUAUCAAUAACCAGCUUCAUCCAAGAUCUCAAAGGGCUCUAUAUACAGUCAUUAAGUGCAAUUCCUAUCUCACUGAUGCUCAUGGAGGAGCUGGUAACUGAACUCAGAAGAAUACACCCAGGAGAACUGACCUCCUGCACUCUUUCUUAACCUGCAAAUUAUGUUUUCCUUAAAAACAAAUAAAUGACCCUAAAAAUCCCAAAGAAGCUUUAGUUACAGAAAGAACAGCAAGAAGCACAGUCUUGGUUAGUGUCGUGGUUUAAACAAACAUCACAAACCUUCAUACUCAGGCUGGAACUCUUAGAAACAUUCAAGAGCAUUUGUGGAAAUAUAACCGUAACCAUGUGGCUUUGGGAAGUCAUGGCAUGCCCAGCCUGUUACUUGCUUCAGUAGGUGGGUGCAAGUAGUUCAUCAGUUAUAAAACCAGCAAGCUGGCUGGGAAGCAGGGAUGCUUGAAUUCCUGGGAGUACAACAUUUCUCCAUCGUCUGAUAUUUCCUCUUUGCUGAUAUGAUGAUAUCUGAGGCUGGAAGCUUGGAAAGUCUGGCAGAUCAUGCUGGCAAACUGGCAAAGUAUGACAGUAUUCUUUUGAUUCUGAAUGUAGAUACCUUGAUAGUGUGCAAGUGUUUUAAUCUUGGGGCACAUAGUAACUCAAUGCACGAAAAUGGGAAACCAGAAGAGAAGAAGCCAGACGUAUCUCUGUUUUGUUCCAGUUUUGCUGUUUUGGUGGCUGGAAGGCUUAGUAAAAUUCCUUCCUUACAAGGCUGGCGCAAUUGUGAUGAACAGUCUAGGACAGGAGGAUGGAGAAUCCCAAGUGGGAAAACAAAAUCUGUCUACAGCAAACAAUCUCAUCCCAGACCGAGACUCCCUGGGAUAAAGUGUGCCCACCUGUUAGUGUUUCAGCUACUGACAAAGCAUGAUACUAAGGCUCUAGUGUGAAGUAUCCAAGAACUUGGGCUUCAGCUCAGUCAAAACUUGAAAAAAAAUGGUCUGCACAUGUGAAGACUAUUUAAGAUGAUGACCUGUCAUUGCUAAAAUUCCUGAAGAAUGCAGCUGUGAAUAUCAUCAAUGUAUCAUCACAGGAAAGAUGGAAAGAGGAGUUGAUGUCAGCCUUAAUUCUCUAUUUCCUGGAGGCUUAAAUUGGUUUAAGACCUUUCACACUCCUGGGAUGAUUUCUGGAUUUCAGCCUUCAGGGAGGAGAGGUGUUCACCUGUCUCUGGCCUGAAGCAUGAAGGUCAAGAGCUGCUUCUUUAUCCUUGUCAUUGGCUUGGUGCAGGUGCUAAUUCAAGACACAUAAAUGCCUAAUCCUAUUUUGAGGCUGACUUGUUAGCUCUGUAAAAUGUAGCAGUUCGCAGGUGUUCGGAGGAAUAGUUUAACACAUUAGCACACUUUUUUGGUGAUUAUUUUCAUGGAACUCUUUAAAUAACCAUUAAGCUUUGACAGCACCAAGCAGAGGCAGCAGCUAUUUAAAAAUAAAAUGAGGAGAGGGGUAAAAGCAGUGUGGUUGUAAAAAAAGGAAGCAGUAGGCUGCAGAUAGCCAGCCUCUCCUUUGGGAUCAGGCUGCCUUUGCAGAACCCAGUGCUUGCUUUGCCGGCACAGACCAAUGAUAGAUCUUACUGUUUAUUUCUGUGGUGUUUUUCUGCCCCCAGUUACAUCGCUGCUCUCAUUUCUGUGCAAACAACAGUUCCUGCCUCAAAAGCGUGAGUGCAAUUAAGGAUAGAUCUAACCUCACUCUUAAAUUUAGCUUUUCUCCACAGUUUUCUCAUGCAAGCAUACAUUUGGGUGGGAUUUUGGCUCAACUCCAGAGCUUCCUGUAGGCUUCCUGUCCAGCUGUGCCUGCUUCUCCAUCAUCCACUGGGCUCCUGUACCUGUGAUUUUGAUGGAUCAGGUGUAGGUAUCAUCCUAUGUCACUACCUCAUUAGGUAGCUAAGAUUUAGCCUUGCCAGGCACAGCAUCAUCCUGUUUCCCCCGCAGAUGUUUUUUGUUCACAGUAAAGCUGAUCAAGGGAUUUCUAUCAUGGCAAAGAAUUACCUUUAAGGCUUCUAUAGGGACAUGCUUGCCUAAUUGUGAAACUGCAACACACACACAAAAAAAUCCUCAGCUUUGUAUUUCUAAGGACUUUAUCUAGCUUAAACCCACAGAGAUCCACAAAACAGGUAUGUUUGUCUCUCCCUGGUGCACUGCCCUGCAUGGCGAGGUCUGCCAGCCAGAAGCUGCUUUGGAAAGACCUUGUGCUUGAGCAGUUGGAUUAGCAGCAUUCUGUACAUAAUGCUUUUUUUUCCAGCCCUCUCUUCCUCUCUGCAACAUGCAGGCACACAACAUAUAUAGCCUUGAGGUUGAUUUGGUUAAAAAGAUUGUUUUCAAGAAGCAGUGGUGGAAGUCUUAUUAGGAAUAACUGUCUGAGCGCAAACAGAUGCGCAACACAGAGGGUAGUGAAUGUGUCUAUGUGGACUUGGACCUAUUAGCUGCCUCAAACACAUUUUUCACUUCAGUGUUGGCAAUUUAUUCUGUGCUUUCUCCUGUCUGCUCUGAAAUAGGGAGAAGUGAUGGCAGUUCCACUGAAUCACAGUGCUGAAGGAUGCUUUGUAUGUAUGCAUGCAUGUAGGUAGUGCUGGAAAGCUUCCCGGGCUCUCCUGCAGCUGCAGAGUAUUCCUCUCAGUAGCACUAGGUGGAUGAUGGACCAGAAGCUUCGCAGUCUUAAGUGUAAGGGAGAGUAAUUGGACAGGACAGAAUUCAUAUUGCUUUUGAUGGCCUUGGAAAACUAUGUUAAAAACAAAUACCGUAACUUUUGGAAAACAAAGAUGUUCACAAAAGUAAAAGGCCAAAAGCAGCUCGCCCCACAACGCAGAGAGUCAGGGUUAAAAGACUGAUGAGCAGAAAGAGAAUAAUGGGAAGGAAAGUAUUAAGGGUUAAGAAAGAAAGGGGAAAGGAGUCCUUUAUCUAGGUAUUAAAAGUUUAACCCAGUAAAUCUCCCUCUUUCUCUUAUUUCUGGGAUAAAAAUAAGAGCCCUUGGAAAGCUUAAAGGCUAGAUUUGAGAAGGCAGCCGUGAGUGUAAGGAUGCUCAGACAGAAUUAGGGACUGUAGAAAUCCCUAAGCUGCUUUUUCUUAGGAGGAAAAAACCCAAACCACAGUUACCACUUAAGCAAAGUCUGAUGUGUCUAUAUUUUCAGAUGACCACAGUUUUUAAAAAGGCCCUUAUAAUGAGGCUUUAACUUCAGUCAAAUCUUUCAGUGGCAGGAGCAAAACUUGAGGCAUUGGGUCUGCACUUGCCAUGCAGUUGUGAUCAUAAGAAGUACCUGGGGAAAGUGGCAUAUUCCAGGCUAAAAUCCAUGUUCAAGGAUGAUUAACCCUCUGGAAGUGCUUGCCUCUUAUAACCACUACAGGGAAUCUGGCUCACUAGCUCAGAUGAAUAGCAUGCAUUUCCUAUAGGUAAAAAUCAAUGCCACUCCAUGUAAGCACCCAAAGCUUA